rnacentral:lncRNA from 1 species
AUACAUAGUCGUGCAGAGGAGGGAUGAGUUAUCAGUGGAAAUGGUUGAUGUACCUGUAAAAGAAGAUAAAGUUAAUGGAGAGUCAGUGCAGACAAUUGAAAGAGAUGUAGAUCAUCAAUUAAUUACUAACAUUGUGGUCGCACAAACCACAGGAGAAGGUAUAAGUGAAUUUACCUUAAUGAAAGGAAUUGAUGAAGCCAUUUAUGAAGUCCCAUUGCAAAUUCAAUUAGCACCUUAUGGGGAAGGGAGUUUUCCACAUGCUCAAGAGGAAACAAGGCUACAUUUAACUAAUAUAGAAGAAAAUGAAGAAAUAGAGAAAAUAGGAGUAACCAAGUUCAUGGUAGGAAGUCCUCAGAAGUCACCACCUAUGGAAAACCUGCAUGCAUUAAUAUCUCAUCAGAUUCAACAUGAAACAACAUAGGGUCAGAUUACAAUAUAUGCUGAAACAACAAAACAAACAAUAGCAGAUAAAGAAGAAGACAUGAAUGAGUCUAAUGCUAGAAGUGUGUGUAGUGCAGCUGGUUUAUCCCCAAAUACUCUAUCCAAGGGUAAAAAGGGAGAAAAAAAGGGAGAUGGUAAAGGAGAAAAGGUAGAUAAAGGUGAUGCCAUUAUUAGACCAACAAGGAUACAAGCUAAGAGGGUGGUUAAAUCAAUAUCCAAAUGACACAAAAAGCCUUAUUCAGGAACAUAAGGUCUGUGGAAACUCAAAAUACUUUUCACAGAGUUCAAAUGUUACACAGACAUCACAAAUUCUUUCUUAUUGCUCUAAUGGAGCCAUUCCAAGAUACUACUCAUAUUCAAAGAUUCAAGAGAAGAUUGGGGAUGUAGUAUGUAAAUUAUAACAGUAAUGGGCAGAUCUGGAUAUUCAUUAGAGAACAUAUUCAAGUAGGAGUUAUUUCAGACUCUGAACAACAAUUGACUCUUCACUUAGCCAUGGAGGAUGGCCAGCAAAUCUUAACUAUAACAGUAUAUGCUAAAUGCUCUUCUAUUGAAAGGUUGAGUUUGUGGGAUGAUAUCUAUACUUUGAGUCAAGAAUUUUCCUUGCCAUGGAUGGUGGGAGGGGAUUUCAAUGUUAUUCUAGGGGAUGAAGAAAAGAUAGGUGGAUUACCAGUAUAUCCUCAGGAAUAUGAAGAUUUUGCCUUUUGUGUCAAUUCUUGUGACUUGUUUGAUUUGCAUUUUUCUGGUAGUCCAUUCACUUGGUGGAAUGGUAGGACUGAUGAAAGAUGUAUUUUCAAGAGACUUGAUAGAGUUGUUAUCAAUCAAUCUAUGCAAGAUUUGAUGGGUAAUGUGGAACAUUUUGCUAGAACAGGCUCUGACCAUGCUCCUCUGUUGUUGACUUGUGGUGGAUCUAAUAAGCCUGUGUCCAAGCCUUUCAAAUUUUUGAAAUUUUGGACGGAGAGGGAUGACUUUAAAAAAGUGGUCUUAGAUAAUUGGUGUGCUGACUGUGAUGGUGAUAUUUUUGUCUAGCUGAAGCAGAAGUUAAAGAAAACUAAACUUUCCCUUAGCAUGUGGAGUAAAGAAAAGUUUGGGGAUAUCUUCAAACAAUUGGUGAUUAGGGAAUAAAUUGUAAGGUUGAAAGAAGAACUGUUUGAACAAAAUCCCAACUCUUUUAAUAGAGUUAUUUUACAGAAAGCAUAGGCAGAACUUAAGUUAUAUAUUCAUUAUGAGGAGGAAUUCUGGAGACAGAAAUCAAGUUCCCAAUGAUUUUUUGAAGGUGAUAAGAAUACCAAGUUCUUUCAUUGCUUGGUAAAAGGGAGAAGAAAGAGGUUAACCUUGAAGAGAAUUCUUAAAGAAGAUGGAGGUUGGGCAGAAGGAGAUUCAACAAUUGCUCAGAAGCUCUAAAGUUUUUUGAAAAUCAAUUUUCAGAAAGUGCUUGCAAUCCAACAUGGAGGAUGGCCAACAAAUCUUAACUAUAGCAGUAUAUGCUAAAUGCUCUUCUAUUGAAAGGUUGAGUUUGUGGGAUGAUAUCUAUACUUUGAGUCAAGAAUUUUCCUUGCCAUGGAUGGUGGGAGGGGAUUUCAAUGUUAUUCUAGGGGAUGAAGAAAAGAUAGGUGGAUUACCAGUAUAUCCUCAGGAAUAUGAAGAUUUUGCCUUUUGUGUCAAUUCUUGUGACUUGUUUGAUUUGCAUUUUUCUGGUAGCCCAUUCACUUGGUGGAAUGGUAGGACUGAUGAAGGAUGUAUUUUCAAGAGACUUGAUAGAGUUGUUAUCAAUCAAUCUAUGCAAGAUUUGAUGGGUAAUGUGGAAGUACAACAUCUUGCUAGAACAGGCUCUGACCAUGCUCUUCUAUUGUUGACUUGUGGUGGAUCUAAUAAGCCUGUGUCCAAGCCAUUCAAAUUUUUGAAAUUUUGGACGGAGAGGGAUGACUUUAAAAAAGUGGUCUUAGAUAAUUGGUGUGCUGACUGUGAUGGUGAUAUUUUUGUCUAGCUGAAGCAGAAGUUAAAGAAAACUAAACUUUCCCUUAGCAUGUGGAGUAAAGAAAAGUUUGGGGAUAUCUUCAAACAAUUGGUGAUUAGGGAAUAAAUUGUAAGGUUGAAAGAAGAACUGUUUGAACAAAAUCCCAACUCUUUUAAUAGAGCUAUUUUACAGAAAGCACAGGCAGAACUUAAGUUAUAUAUUCAUUAUGAUGAGGAAUUCUGGAGACAGAAAUCAAGUUCCCAAUGAUUUUCUGAAGGUGAUAAGAAUACCAAGUUCUUUCAUUGCUUGGUAAAAGGGAGAAGAAAGAGGUUAACCUUGAAGAGAAUUCUUAAAGAAGAUGGAGGUUGGGUAGAAGGAGAUUCAACAAUUGCUCAGAAGCUCUAAAGUUUAUUGAAAAUCAAUUUUCAGAAAGUGCUUGCAAUCCAGAUAAAUCUCUUCUCCAACACAUUGCUCCUCAGGUUACUUUGGCUGAAAAUCUAAGGAUUAAAGUUUUACCUUCUGAAGAGGAGGUUAAAAAGGUGGUUUUGAAUUAAAUGGUGAUAGUGCAAGUGGACCUGAUGGUUUCACUGGUCACUUCUAUCAACAUUUUUGGGAGAUAGUAGGAGGUGAUAUUCUGAAAGUUGUUCAGGCCUUUUUUCAAGGGUGCACCCUCUCUAAAUCAAUUACUCAUAAUAAUUUGGUUCUUUUGCCAAAAAAAAAGAUGUGAUCAAAUCCUUUUCAGACUUAAGACCAAUUAGUUUGAGUAAUUUUCUCAAUAAAGGUGAUUUCAAGAGUGAUGCAUGAUAGAAUGAAAGAUUUAUUGCCUAAAUUAAUCUCACAAAAUCAAUCUGGUUUUGUUAAGGGAAGGAGUAUUACUGAAAAUGUGUUGCUUGUUCAAGAGAUCAUCACUGAUAUAAGGAAGAGGGGUAAACCUGCUAAUGUGGUAAUCAAAUUGGAUAUGGCUAAAGCCUAUGACAGGGUGAACUAGAAGUUUUUGAUUAAUGUGAUGGAAAGGAUGGGUUUUGAUGGGGAUGUAUUAGAUCUGGUUUGGAGGAUUUUGGCAAAUAAUUGUUAUUCCAUUCUCAUUAAUGGACAACCCAUGGAUUCUUUCAUUCUUCGAGGGGUGUUAAACAAGAAGAUCCCCUAUCUCCUGCACUUUUCAUCUCUCUGCAGAAGUAUUAUCAAAAGCUUUAAACAGUUUGUUUUCUUGUACAUAUUUUAAACCUUUUGGGAUGCCUAAAUGGAGUGAGAAGCUGAAUCAUCUUGCUUAUGAAGAUGAUACUAUAAUAUUUGCUGCAACAGAGGAAAAAUCUUUACAACUUAUAAUGGAGGUAUUGAAUAACUAUGAGGAACAAUCUGGACAGAAAAUUAAUAAGGAGAAAAGCUUUUACUACAUGUUCAACAAAGUUGCAAGUGCAGAUGUUCAAGUUGUUGAAAGUGUUAUUGGUUUUGUGAAAUAAAAUUUUCCCCUGAUCUAUCUAUGAUGUCCAAUUGGACAUGCAAAGAAGAAAAAGGCCCACUUUUCAGAGUUGAUUAAAAAUAUUCAAAACAAGCUGCAACUUUGGAAGGGAAAAUUGUUGUCAUUUGGAGGGAAAUCAGUUUUAAUCAAUAAUAUUUUGCAGAGUAUUCCUGUUUAUUUGUUAUCUGCUAUUGUGCCUCCUAAGUGUGUGAUAAUGGAUAUCCAUAGGAUGCUUGCUAAAUUUCUAUGGAACUCUAAAGAAGGGGGAGGGCAAAACAUUGGGUAUCUUGGCAGGACAUAUGUCUACCAAAAGAAGAAGGAGGGUUGGGGUUUAGAUCCUUAUUUUGAUGUAUCAAAAGCUCUUUUUGCAAAGCUAUGGUGGAAAUUUAGAACCACAAACACCCUAUGGUCUACUUUUCAUGUGGAAUAAGUAUUGUAAAAGAAUUAGACCUCAGAAGGUAGAAUGGAAAGGUGGAUCACAGAUUUGGAAGCAUAUGCUACAAGCCAUAGACUUUUUUGACCAAAAAAUCUGGUGGGAGACAAGAAUUGGUCAUACUAGCUUGUGGUAUGACAAUUGGAUACAACUAGGGGCUCUACAUUCAUAUCUUCCUAUUUCUUAUGAGAUUAAUGAAGCCUAUGAAGAGGUUCAGCAGAUCAGAAAUGAGGAAGGAUGGAACUAUAAUCUGAUGGAGGAGUUAUUCCCUACUGAAGUGUGCAACCAAAUUCAUAAUGUUUUUGGAAGGCUGCAGAAAUCUGAGGAAAGAGAUAAGGCAUGGUGGAUGCCCAAAAGUUCUGGAAAAUUUACUGUGGGAAGUGCAUGGGAACUUUCCAGACAAAGAAAAGGAAAACAGGAAGGGAUUAUGAAUAUCUGGGAAUCAGGAAUUCCUUUUAGAAUAUCCUUUUUGCUAUGGAGAAUUUGGUUUCAAAGUAUUCCUAUUGGGGAGGUUUUGAUCAAGAUAAAAGUCACUGAUUCCGUUGUGUGUUGCUGCUGCAAUAACGAUUCUCAAGAGACCUUUGAACAUCGGUUUGUUACAUGUCCAAUGGCUAAUGAACUGUGGGAGUUGUUUGCGGAUGCUGUAGGGAUUCAAGGUCCUUUUUUACAGCUUAAACAUACAAUUGAUAAAUGGUGGAAUGGAAAAUGUGUACCAAAACUUAAACCUUUGUUCAAAGCUGUUCCUGUGUUCAUAAUAUGGAAAAUUUGGAAAAGAAGGAAUAAAAUUACACAUGGAGGGAAGAUGUCUAAAUUCUCUCUGUUGGCAGCAUACAGAUAUCCUUGGUUAGAUAAUAUUCCUAUGUUUUGGCCGCUAAUUGUGAAAGCAUUUGAUAAUUACAGUCCUCUAAUCUCUAGUAAAAUUGUUAGUUGGAGGCUCCCCGAGGAAGGUAAGUUUAAAUGCAACAGUGAUGGUGCUUACAAGGAUAAUAUGAACCUCAGUGUCUAUGCAUUUUGUAUUAGAAAUCACUUAGGGGAUUUCAUGUAUGCAGAAGUGAACAAGGUAUUGGUAGGAUCUGCACUUGAGGUAGAAGUGAAAGCUUUGGGUGCUGGAUUAGAAUAUUGCAUCUCGAAUAAUUUGCUUCCUCUAAUUGUCGAAACAGAUUCUCUUCUUGCUAAGAAGAUCAUAGACGGGAUUUGGGAAAUUCCUUGGGCUAUUGUAGUGGAUAUAAGAAGAAUCCAAGGGCUGGUGAGAGAGCAUACUGUGGAGGUGUUGAACACUUACAAACAAGGGAAUAUGUUAGCAGAUUUUUUUACUAACCACAUCUUCAUUGCAGGUACUAACAACAAACAAUUUCAUACUGUUUCGGAAAUACCACAGAGGGCCAAGGCGAUUAUCCAAAUGGACAAACAACAGAUUUCGAACAUCAGAUUUACAAGGUGUCAAAAUAGAUUUCAAAGUCAUGACACAUGAGCUGCAAUACACUAAUUCAAGUAAAAAAAUACAAGCUUAUUUGAAAACACAGGCAGUGCAAACGAUAAAAAAUAUCGUGCUAUAUUUUCAGACCAUGAAGAAAAAGCAUUUUUGUUGAAGCUAUUCUCUUGAAAUGUCCGAACAAAUAGGGAAGACUUACCUAAUGCUCUAGCUCCUUAUGCAGUGGUAUUAGCUUUCUGAGCUCAAUC